rnacentral:rRNA from 1 species
AUCAACUUUCGAUGGUAGGAUAGAGGCAUACCAUGGUGUUAACGGGUAACGGGGUGUUAGGGCACGACACCGGAGAGGGAGCCUGAGAAACGGCUACCACAUCCAAGGAUGGCAGCAGGCGCGCAAAUUACCCAAUCCCGACACGGGGAGGUAGUGACAAUAAAUAACAAUACGGGGUUCUUUCGGAUCACGUAAUUGGAAUGAGUACAAUUUAAAUCUCUUAACGAGGAACAAUUGGAGGGCAAGUCUGGUGCCAGCAGCCGCGGUAAUUCCAGCUCCAAUAGCGUAUAUUAAAGUUGUUGCAGUUAAAAAGCUCGUAGUUGAAUUUCGGGGUCAGUAGGUUGGUCGUGCCACAGGUAUGAACUGGUCUCACUGAUUCCUCCUUCCUGAUGAACCGUAAUGCCAUUAAUUUGGUGUUGCGGGGAGACUGGACUGUUACUUUGAAAAAAUUAGAGUGUUUAAAGCAGGCUAACGCUUGAAUACAUUAGCAUGGAAUAAUGAAAUAGGACGUUCGGUCUUAUUUUGUUGGUUUCUAAGAUUGACGUAAUGAUUAAUAGGGAUAGUUGGGGGCAUUAGUAUUCAAUUGUCAGAGGUGAAAUUCUUGGAUUUAUUGAAGACUAACUACUGCGAAAGCAUUUGCCAAGGAUGUUUUCAUUAAUCAAGAACGAAAGUUAGGGGAUCGAAGACGAUCAGAUACCGUCGUAGUCUUAACCAUAAACUAUGCCGACUAGGGAUCGGAUGAUGUUAAUUUUUUAAUGACUCAUUCGGCGCCUUACGGGAAACCAAAGUGUUUGGGUUC